rnacentral:rRNA from 1 species
AUGGCAACAAAUGAUCAUUUGUCUGUUAUGCAGAAGAAGAAACGUUAUCGCAAUAGGGCUUCGCAAGAACGCCUGACUAUAUUGACCGAUGGAUUUACUGAUGAGCAAAAGGGAGCUACUGGUGAGAUGGGGAUGCAGGCUUUGAUGGAUGUUCGGUGCAAGAACCUAGUGAACCCUGUAUGCGACUGGCUCGGUGAGAUUUAUGAUCCUGCCUCCAGGGAAUUUGUGAUACCGGGACGUGGAAGACUUCCUUUGGAUGAGGAGUCCGUGUUCUGCACUUUGGGUGGGGGAAGACUUGUAUAG